rnacentral:rRNA from 1 species
CAAUAGCGUAUAUUAAAGUUGCUGCAGUUAAAAAGCCCGUAGUCGAACUUCAGACCUGGCCGGGCGGUCUGCCUCACGGUACGUACUGUCCGGCUGGGCCUUACCUCUUGGUGAGCCGGCAUGCCCUUUACUGGGUGUGUCGGGGAACCAGGACUUUUACCUUGAGAAAAUUAGAGUGUUCAAAGCAGGCCUAUGCCCGAAUACAUUAGCAUGGAAUAAUAGAAUAGGACGUGCGGUUCUAUUUUGUUGGUUUCUAGAGUCGCCGUAAUGAUUAAUAGGGACAGUCGGGGGCAUUGGUAUUCAGGCGCUAGAGGUGAAAUUCUUGGAUUGCCUGAAGACUAACUACUGCGAAAGCAUUUGCCAAGGAUGUUUUCAUUGA